AGUCAUUGGACAGCAGGGUUGAACUAACUCAUCUAACUGGCAACCUUUAAAAUACAGCAGGGGGGAUGGGUGGUGGGAGGGGGGUUGGGGGAGACAGACGAGGGAGGGAAGGGACAUUUAGGUGGAGAAAUUCUAGAGACACCCUCAUAGAUAUGCACAUUCACACACACACACACACACACACACACACACACACACACACACACACACACACACACACACACACACACACAACAACACACACCCAUACACACACACACACACGAACACACACACACACAGUUGGUUAGCUAUGCUUACCUUUGUUAGCUGUUAGCUUAGCUUUGUUUUGUAUGGUUUCUUUCUUUGGCAACACUCAAGUCCCGAGGUUUUGGUUGAAUCGUAGUGUUGUACGUGUUUGUUGACACCAGUCAACUCUAUGUUCAUCAUUAUCUGUUGUUUUCCAUGGUUUUAUUGUUGACCCACAAUCUACUGCACGCUUGCACAUGCGCACAUGCAUCCACUCAGAAACAAACACACGCAAACAUUUCCAAAACAUAUAUCAACGUGAUCUUUUAAAUGUUCUUGCAGAUGAAAUGGUAGUAGGCCUAUACUCUCCCUUAUACAUGGGCAUGUUAGCCAUGCUCAUAGUUAGCUGUAGCCUAUAGACAAACCUUACAAUAAGUGAGACAAGCAAUAGCUUAGCCUACUAAUGGGUUAGCCAUGCUAUAGUUGAGCCUAGCCAAAGGCUAGCCAUGCUAUGGUGAGAUAGUGAGUGAGAAAAGGUUAGGCUUUAUUGUUAACGCCACUUCAAACUGCACUAACGUGGGUGUGUGCAUGUGUGUAUGUGUGUGUUUGUGUGUUUCAGACUGCGAGCCCACGGAGGUUUCAGACUGGUCUUUUGAUGAGAACUGUCUCUUCUGCUGCUCGAGGCGGGAGAAAAAGGUGAAGAAGCGGACAGAAGAGGACCGUGUUGUGGACAGCCAGGUGAACCAGAGUGACGAGCAGUCUAGGAUCUGUCUGGAGAGGCAGGCACAAGACUUCCUCAAUGCUGUGUUGCACAGGAAAGGUACAGACAAAAAUACACACACACACACAAGCAUGUGAAUAGCUUUCAAAAAACGUACACGAAAUUACGUAUAUGUGGACGUUCAUUAUUUAUUAUAAUUAAUGCUUAACCAGACAGUUAAAAGACAUCA
rnacentral:lncRNA from 1 species